AGGACUGACUGCUAGAUUGACGCUGGCGGCAGGCCUAACACAUGCAAGUCGGACGGUAGCACAGAGGAGCUUGCUCCUCGGGUGACGAGUGGCGGACGGGUGAGUAAUGUCUGGGAAACUGCCCGAUGGAGGGGGAUAACUACUGGAAACGGUAGCUAAUACCGCAUAACGUCGCAAGACCAAAGUGGGGGACCUUCGGGCCUCACACCAUCGGAUGUGCCCAGAUGGGAUUAGCUUGUAGGCGGGGUAACGGCCCACCUAGGCGACGAUCCCUAGCUGGUCUGAGAGGAUGACCAGCCACACUGGAACUGAGACACGGUCCAGACUCCUACGGGAGGCAGCAGUGGGGAAUAUUGCACAAUGGGCGCAAGCCUGAUGCAGCCAUGCCGCGUGUAUGAAGAAGGCCUUCGGGUUGUAAAGUACUUUCAGCGGGGAGGAAGGUGCUGAGGUUAAUAACCUCAGCAAUUGACGUUACCCGCAGAAGAAGCACCGGCUAACUCCGUGCCAGCCGCCGCGGUAAU
rnacentral:rRNA from 1 species